CUACGGGCGGCAGCAGUGGGGAAUAUUGCACAAUGGGCGCAAGCCUGAUGCAGCAACGCCGCGUGAAUGAUGAAGGCCUUCGGGUCGUAAAGUUCUGUCCAAAGGGAAGAAAAAAAUGACGGUACCUUUGGAGGAAGCCCCGGCUAACUACGUGCCAGCAGCCGCGGUAAUACGUAGGGGGCAAGCGUUAUCCGGAAUCACUGGGCGUAAAGGGAGCGUAGGCGGUUUGACAAGCCAGGGGUGAAAGGCAAUAGCUUAACUGUUGUAAGCCCUUGGAACUGUCGAACUUGAGUGCAGGAGAGGAAAGUGGAAUUCCUAGUGUAGCGGUGAAAUGCGUAGAUAUUAGGAGGAACACCAGUGGCGAAGGCGACUUUCUGGACUGUAACUGACGCUGAGGCUCGAAAGCGUGGGGAGCGAACAGGAUUAGAUACCCGGGUAGUC
rnacentral:rRNA from 1 species